rnacentral:misc_RNA from 1 species
UGGAGAUAAUAUUCAAACAGCUAGAGCAAUUGCCUUGGAGUGUGGAAUUUUAAGUUCAAAUACUGAAGUCACAGAAUUUGAAGUUAUUGAGGGGAAAACCUUCCGUGAGUUGUCUGAGAAGGAGAGAGAACAAGUUGCAAACAGAAUGUCGGUUAUGGGAAGGUCAUCACCAAGUGACAAGCUUUUGCUUGUGCAAACUCUGCGUAAACUAAG